UGUAGAGGGUGCCACCAAGUUCAUUCUACAG
rnacentral:piRNA from 1 species